rnacentral:rRNA from 1 species
AACGAAGCUUGACGGAUGAUUUCUUCGGAAUGAAACCUGAUAUGACUUAGUGGCGGACGGGUGAGUAACACGUGAGCAACCUGCCUUUCAGAGGGGGAUAACGGCUGGAAACGGUCGCUAAUACCGCAUGACGUGUUCGGAUGGCAUCAUCUGAACAUCAAAGAUUUAUCGCUGAAAGAUGGGCUCGCGUCUGAUUAGAUAGUUGGUGGGGUAACGGCCUACCAAGUCUACGAUCAGUAGCCGGACUGAGAGGUUGAACGGCCACAUUGGGACUGAGAUACGGCCCAGACUCCUACGGGAGGCAGCAGUGGGGAAUAUUGCACAAUGGGGGAAACCCUGAUGCAGCAACGCCGCGUGAAGGAUGACGGUUUUCGGAUUGUAAACUUCUUUUCUUAGUGACGAAGACAGUGACGGUAGCUAAGGAAUAAGCAUCGGCUAACUACGUGCCAGCAGCCGCGGUAAUACGUAGGAUGCAAGCGUUAUCCGGAUUUACUGGGUGUAAAGGGAGCGCAGGCGGGACUGCAAGUUGGAUGUGAAAUACCGUGGCUUAACCACGGAACUGCAUCCAAAACUGUAGUUCUUGAGUGAAGUAGAGGCAAGCGGAAUUCCGAGUGUAGCGGUGAAAUGCGUAGAUAUUCGGAGGAACACCAGUGGCGAAGGCGGCUUGCUGGGCUUUAACUGACGCUGAGGCUCGAAA